rnacentral:tRNA from 1 species
AAGACAUUAGUAAAAUGUAAAUUACACCACCUUGUCAAGGUGGUAAUACAGGUUAAAUCCCUGUAUGUCUUA